rnacentral:rRNA from 1 species
CACGUAGGGCGCAAGCGUUGUCCGGAAUUAUUGGGCGUAAAGAGCUCGUAGGCGGUCUGUUGCGUCCGCUGUGAAAACUCGGGGCUUAACCCCGAGCCUGCAGUGGAUACGGGCAGACUAGAGGUAGGUAGGGGAGAAUGGAAUUCCCGGUGUAGCGGUGAAAUGCGCAGAUAUCGGAAGGAACACCGGUGGCGAAGGCGGUUCUCUGGGCCUUACCUGACGCUGAGGAGCGAAAGCGUGGGGAGCGAACAGG